rnacentral:rRNA from 1 species
GAGCUUGCUUCUUUGCUGACGAGUGGCGGACGGGUGAGUAAUGUCUGGGAAACUGCCCGAUGGAGGGGGAUAACUACUGGAAACGGUAGCUAAUACCGCAUAACGUCUUCGGACCAAAGAGGGGGACCUUCGGGCCUCUUGCCAUCGGAUGUGCCCAGAUGGGAUUAGCUAGUAGGUGGGGUAACGGCUCACCUAGGCGACGAUCCCUAGCUGGUCUGAGAGGAUGACCAGCCACACUGGAACUGAGACACGGUCCAGACUCCUACGGGAGGCAGCAGUGGGGAAUAUUGCACAAUGGGCGCAAGCCUGAUGCAGCCAUGCCGCGUGUAUGAAGAAGGCCUUCGGGUUGUAAAGUACUUUCAGCGGGGAGGAAGGGAGUGAGGUUAAUAACCUCAUUCAUUGACGUUACCCGCAGAAGAAGCACCGGCUAACUCCGUGCCAGCAGCCGCGGUAAUACGGAGGGUGCAAGCGUUAAUCGGAAUUACUGGGCGUAAAGCGCACGCAGGCGGUCUGUCAAGUCGGAUGUGAAAUCCCCGGGCUCAACCUGGGAACUGCAUUC